GACGAACGCUGGCGGCGUGCUUAACACAUGCAAGUCGAACGGACAUGCCCUGCUUUUGUGGGGUGCUCGAGUGGCGAACGGGUGAGUAACACGUGAGUAACCUGCCCUUGACUUUGGGAUAACUUCAGGCAACUGGGGCUAAUACCGGAUAGGAGCUCCUGCUGCUUGGUGGGGGUUGGAAAGUUUCGGCGGUUGGGGAUGGUCUCGCGGCUUAUCAGCUUGUUGGUGGGGUAGUGGCUUACCAAGGCUUUGACGGGUAGCCGGCCUGAGAGGGUGACCGGCCACAUUGGGACUGAGAUACGGCCCAGACUCCUACGGGAGGCAGCAGUGGGGAAUAUUGCACAAUGGGCGGAAGCCUGAUGCAGCAACGCCGCGUGCGGGAUGACGGCCUUCGGGUUGUAAACCGCUUUCGCCUGUGACGAAGCGUGAGUGACGGUAAUGGGUAAAGAAGCACCGGCUAACUACGUG
rnacentral:rRNA from 1 species